rfam:Citrobacter rodentium ICC168, complete genome
AGUUAUUCGCGUAGGGUACAGAGGUAAGAUGUUCUAUCUUUCAGACCUUUUACUUCACGUAAUCGGAUUUGGCUGAAUAUUUUAGCCGCCCCAGUCAGUUUCUGACUGGGGCGUUUUUUA